AGCAGUGUGGCUCAGUGGUAAGAGCCCGGGCUUGGGAGUCAGAGGUCGUGGGUUCUAAUCCCGGCUCUGCCA
rfam:Ornithorhynchus anatinus chromosome 4, whole genome shotgun sequence.